rnacentral:lncRNA from 1 species
AGCCCAGCGCGGAGCUGCUUCCCCCGAGCCCUGUGCCAGGUGAACCUAAUGUCCACAGAAACAAGGAGCUCAUCUCAGCAUAACCAAGAAGGACGAACGUCGUCCACAACAACUGUGGCUGAUGGCAUUCUGGCUAAGAAAGGGAUAGCAAAGAUAUUCAAAGGCAUAGAAAUGGUGCUCGAUGAAUCAAUAUGUGCGGUUGCUAGGAGUGUGAUUGAGAAAAUCCUUGCAAUUGCAUCUGACGAAUCAAGAAAGAGAAAUGAGGAGGAGACCACAAAUGCCGUGGAAUCUAGGACAGAUGAAACCUCUCAGGAGCUCAUAAAAACAAUGAAAGCCUUGCAGGAAUAUCUCAAAGAAUCACAGGAGUCCGGACAGUGUGAGUGUCAGCACAGCAGAGCACAGCUGGAGGGGAACCGAGGACAGAAUGAGGGGGAAAUUUCAAGUGCCACGACGAUUAGAAAUUUCCAGCAGCUCUCACAAAGACUUGAAAGUCUGGAAGAACGUUUACAGCAAAUGGUGGAGUCAUCAUAGCACGGGUUUCAGCUUCUCAGAGCAGACCAGGAGAAGUAACAAGGAGGUUUGUCCUAAAUUAUCCAAGAAUUUCCUUCCCAUAUGCCAGAGGCACUCUUCUCUGUCGGAAUGGAGGGAAUAUUUUCCUGCCUGUCCUGAGAUGUCCUGAUCCCCAGGAGAGCACUGCUUUUAACCUUCAUCCAUGGAGAAAGCUUCCAAGGCUUUGAGAUGAAUUGGAAUCUACGAGUGUGCGAAGUAGAUAGUAGUAUAGUUUAUCACAUGGUGAAAAACUUAAAUUUUGGGGGUUUUAGUAUGGAGGUGGAUUGGAGACAAGAUGGAGAAUUUCAGGCAUUGUCUGAUCUCCUUGUUCUUCAUCUACUCCAUUUUCUGCAGUGUUGGGAGCACAGGGUGAUUGAUUAGAAAGAACCGCAAUGCAGGUGUUGUGUGGACAGAAAAAUAAAUAGUUAUUGGUAGAAAGGAAGAAAUAAAGUGUGUUCUAAGAAUUAAUUGGAUGAAAUAGCUUUAAAAAACCUUGAACCUGUGUGUCUUGUGACUUUUGGCGCCUUCUCUUUGUACGCUAAGUCUGAGAUGUAGACGGCGUGCAGAAUUUCUGAUAAGAGAAAAAUAAACAAUAACCUGCAG